AAAAAAAGUCAGAAAAUCGCGUAUGAAAAAAAAAGGGAAGCGCCGAAAAAUAAUCAAAAAAAAAAUUUUACAAAUAAAAAAAAACUUCAUUUUUUUUUUCAAAUAAAAUAAAAAACUUGAAAAACUUUUUUGUAUACUUUUUGUUUUUUCCAAAGAAAAUGAUAAUAAUAAAAAAAAAAUAAGGUUUUUAUUUGAAAUCUAAAAGAAAAACAAUUUGAAUUAAAAUUACCGGCAUGCAUAUUACAAUUAUAGCAUUUAUAAACUUAAAUAACAAAAAUAAUAAUAAAAUAAUUAGAAAAAAUAAAGUGUAAUUAAUAACAAAUAGAAAUAAUAUUCACCAUAUGUUGAAUAUGUAAAAUAAAAAAGAUAUUGUUUUUAUUUUUAAGAAUAAAGUUUGUAUUGCAUACCUUUACCUAUAUACUUACAAAAUUAAAAAAAAAAUAUACAUAACAACGUGCUCAUUUAAUAAAUAAAUAAAAUGUAAACAAUAAUAAUAAAUAAGUAAAAAAAAAAAAUUAAAAUUUAAUUGAGAAUUACUGAUAAAAAAAAAAAAAUAAUAUGAGUACAAGAAUAAAAAUAAUAAAAAUUUUAUUUACAUAAAUUUUUCUUGUUUACUUUUUUUUUUUUGAAUAUUUAAUUAAAAAAUUAAGCCGACAUUUACUACAAAUAAAAACGAAAAAAAAAAAAUAAUAAAAAACAUUCUUUACUACCUUAUCUUUGUGACCAAAAAAUAAAAAUAUAAGAAAAACAUUUUAUUUAAAAUAUGCACACUCACACAAACGUAAAGUGAGAACUUAAGUAAACUACUUGUCAAAAAUCAUUCAUCAAAUUUGAAUUUAUUUUUUUUUUUUUGUUUGUUUUAGAACAAUUUUUUUUUUUCAAGUGUUUCUCUUAUUCUUGUUGUUUUUAUUUAUUUACUGCUCAUCUCUUUUCUCUUACACUCAUAUAAUCAGUGAAUUUGUUGGAUAAUAUAAAUUGUAUUUAAAUAAAAACAACAAAAUAAUAAAACAAAAAAAUAAAGUGAACUCUCUCAUGAAGUGAAAAGAAAAACAACAAAAAAAAAAAACAGUUUAAGAAAAUAAAACAAUAACGAGAUUCGAGAACGGCACAUUCAUUAAAAAAGAAAACAAGCAAAAAAACAUAAAAAA